UACGUGGGGGGCAAGCGUUGUUCGGAAUUACUGGGCGUAAAGGGCGCGUAGGUGGCCAACUAAGUCAGACGUGAAAUCUCCCGGCUUAACCGGGAGGGUGCGGCGGAAACUGGAGUGCUUGAGGGUGGGAGAGGUAAGCGGAAUUCCUGGUGUAGCGGUGAAAUGCGUAGAUAUCAGGAGGAACACCUGUGGUGUAGACAGCUUACUGGACCACUUCUGACGCUGAGACACGAAAGCGUGGGUAGCAAACAGG
rnacentral:rRNA from 1 species